UGGGGAAUAUUGCACAAUGGGCGCAAGCCUGAUGCAGCCAUGCCGCGUGUAUGAAGAAGGCCUUCGGGUUGUAAAGUACUUUCAGUCGGGAGGAAGGUGGUAAGGUUAAUAACCUUAUCAAUUGACGUUACCGACAGAAGAAGCACCGGCUAACUCCGUGCCAGCAGCCGCGGUAAUACGGGGGGUGCAAGCGUUAAUCGGAAUUACUGGGCGUAAAGCGCACGCAGGCGGUCUGUCAAGUCGGAUGUGAAAUCCCCGGGCUCAACCUGGGAACUGCAUUCGAAACUGGCAGGCUAGAGUCUUGUAGAGGGGGGUAGAAUUCCAGGUGUAGCGGUGAAAUGCGUAGAGAUCUGGAGGAAUACCGGUGGCGAAGGCGGCCCCCUGGACGAAGACUGACGCUCAGGUGCGAAAGCGUGGGGAGCAAACAGG
rnacentral:rRNA from 1 species